AAAUCCGGUUCACUUUAACACUGAGGCGUGACGACGAGGCACUACGGUGCUGAAGCAACAAAUGCCCUGCUUCCAGGAAAAGCCUCUAAGCAUCAGGUAACAUCAAAUCGUACCCCAAACCGACACAGGUGGUCAGGUAGAGAAUACCAAGGCGCUUGAGAGAACUCGGGUGAAGGAACUAGGCAAAAUGGUGCCGUAACUUCGGGAGAAGGCACGCUGACACGUAGGUGAAGUGAUUUACUCAUGGAGCUGAAGUCAGUCGAAGAUACCAGCUGGCUGCAACUGUUUAUUAAAAACACAGCACUGUGCAAACACGAAAGUGGACGUAUACGGUGUGACGCCUGCCCGGUGCCGGAAGGUUAAUUGAUGGGGUCAGCGCAAGCGAAGCUCCUGAUCGAAGCCCCGGUAAACGGCGGCCGUAACUAUAACGGUCCUAAGGUAGCGAAAUUCCUUGUCGGGUAAGUUCCGACCUGCACGAAUGGCGUAAUGAUGGCCAGGCUGUCUCCACCCGAGACUCAGUGAAAUUGAACUCGCUGUGAAGAUGCAGUGUACCCGCGGCAAGACGGAAAGACCCCGUGAACCUUUACUAUAGCUUGACACUGAACAUUGAGCCUUGAUGUGUAGGAUAGGUGGGAGGCUUUGAAGUGUGGACGCCAGUCUGCAUGGAGCCGACCUUGAAAUACCACCCUUUAAUGUUUGAUGUUCUAACGUGGACCCGUUACCCGGGUUGCGGACAGUGUCUGGUGGGUAGUUUGACUGGGGCGGUCUCCUCCUAAAGAGUAACGGAGGAGCACGAAGGUUGGCUAAUCCUGGUCGGACAUCAGGAGGUUAGUGCAAUGGCAUAAGCCAGCUUGACUGCGAGCGUGACGGCGCGAGCAGGUGCGAAAGCAGGUCAUAGUGAUCCGGUGGUUCUGAAUGGAAGGGCCAUCGCUCAACGGAUAAAAGGUACUCCGGGGAUAACAGGCUGAUACCGCCCAAGAGUUCAUAUCGACGGCGGUGUUUGGCACCUCGAUGUCGGCUCAUCACAUCCUGGGGCUGAAGUAGGUCCCAAGGGUAUGGCUGUUCGCCAUUUAAAGUGGUACGCGAGCUGGGUUUAGAACGUCGUGAGACAGUUCGGUCCCUAUCUGCCGUGGGCGCUGGAGAACUGAGGGGGGCUGCUCCUAGUACGAGAGGACCGGAGUGGACGCAUCACUGGUGUUCGGGUUGUCAUGCCAAUGGCACUGCCCGGUAGCUAAAUGCGGAAGAGAUAAGUGCUGAAAGCAUCUAAGCACGAAACUUGCCCCGAGAUGAGUUCUCCCUGAGACUUUAGGUCUCCUGAAGGAACGUUGAAGACGACGACGUUGAUAGGCCGGGUGUGUAAGCGCAGCGAUGCGUUGAGCUAACCGGUACUAAUGAACCGUG
rnacentral:rRNA from 1 species